rnacentral:tRNA from 1 species
UGGUGGAGCCAAGCGGGAUCGAACCGCUGACCCCCUGCGUGCAAAGCAGGUGCUCUCCCAGCUGAGCUAUGGCCCC